rnacentral:rRNA from 1 species
CCUACGGGAGGCAGCAGUGAGGAAUAUUGGUCAAUGGGCGUAAGCCUGAACCAGCCAAGUCGCGUGAGGGAUGAAGGUUCUAUGGAUCGUAAACCUCUUUUAUCAGGGAGUAAAGUGCGGGACGUGUCACGCUUUGGAUGUACCUUAAGAAUAAGGAUCGGCUAACUCCGUGCCAGCAGCCGCGGUAAUACGGAGGAUCCGAGCGUUACCCGGAUUUAUUGGGUUUAAAGGGUGCGUAGGCGGCCUUUUAAGGGAGCGGUGAAAGUCGGUGGGCCAACCAGCGAAUUGCCGUUGAAACUGGGAGGCUUGAGUAUGUUUGAGGCAUGCGGAAUGCGUGGUGUAGCGGUGAAAUGCUUAGAUAUCACGCAGAACCCCGAUUGCGAAGGCAGCCUGCC